AGAGUUUGAUCCUGGCUCAGGAUGAACGCUGGCGGCGUGCCUAAUACAUGCAAGUCGAACGAAGAUCUUAGGGAAUAAGCUUGCUUAGGAAUUUUGAUCUUAGUGGCGGACUGGUGAGUAACACGUGAGCAACCUGGCUUUCAGAGGGGGACAACGGUUGGAAACGACCGCUAAUACCGCAUGACAUAGUUUUAAGGCAUCUUGAAACUAUCAAAGGAGCAAUCCGCUGAAAGAUGGGCUCGCGUCUGAUUAGAUAGUUGGUGAGGUAACGGCUCACCAAGUCGACGAUCAGUAGCCGGACUGAGAGGUUGAACGGCCACAUUGGGACUGAGAUACGGCCCAGACUCCUACGGGAGGCAGCAGUAGGGAAUAUUGCACAAUGGAGGAAACUCUGAUGCAGCAACGCCGCGUGAAGGAAGACGGUUUUCGGAUUGUAAACUUCUUUUCCCAAAGAAGAAAAAAAUGACGGUAUUUGGGGAAUAAGCAUCGGCUAACUACGUGCCAGCAGCCGCGGUAAUACGUAGGAUGCAAGCGUUAUCCGGAUUUACUGGGUGUAAAGGGUGCGUAGGCGGACUUUCAAGUUGGAUGUGAAAACCCGGGGCUUAACCCCGUGAUUGCAUCCAAAACUGUAGGUCUUGAUUGGAGUAGAGGUAAGUGGAAUUCCGAGUGUAGCGGUGAAAUGCGCAGAUAUUCGGAAGAACACCGGUGGCGAAGGCGACUUACUGGGCUCUAAUGACGCUGAGGCACGAAAGUGUGGGGAGCAAACAGGAUUAGAUACCCUGGUAGUCCCCCCUGUAAACGAUGAUAGCUAGGUGUAGGGGGUCUGACCCCCUCUGUGCCGGAGUUAACGCAAUAAGCUAUCCACCUGGGGAGUACGAUCGCAAGAUUGAAACUCAAAGGAAUUGACGGGGACCCGCACAAGCAGUGGAUUAUGUGGUUUAAUUCGAAGCAACGCGAAGAACCUUACCGAGUCUUGACAUUUAACUAACGAAGCAGAGAUGCAUUAGGUGCCCUUCGGGGAAAGUUAAAACAGGUGGUGCAUGGUUGUCGUCAGCUCGUGCCGUGAGGUGUUGGCUUAAGUGCCGCAACGAGCGCAACCCCUGCCAUUAGUUGCUACGCAAGAGCACUCUAAUGAGACCGCCGAUGACAAAUCGGAGGAAGGUGGGGAUGACGUCAAAUCAUCAUGCCCCUUAUGACUCGGGCCACACACGUAAUACAAUGGUCGUUAACAGAGGGAAGCAAGGGAGCGAUCCGGAGCCAAACCCUAAAAACGAUCUCAGUUCGGACUGUAGGCUGAAACUCGCCUGCACGAAGUUGGAAUUGCUAGUAAUCGCGGAUCAGCAUGCCGCGGUGAAUACGUUCCCGGGUCUUGUACACACCGCCCGUCACACCAUGGGAGUUUGUAACACCCGAAGUCGGUGACCCAACAGUAAUGAGGGAGCCGCCGAAGGUGGGAUAAGCGACUGGGGUGAAGUCGUAACAAGGCAGCCGUAGGAGAACCUGCGGCUGGAUCACCUCCUU
rnacentral:rRNA from 1 species